rnacentral:lncRNA from 1 species
AGCAUUCUUAGGUCAAUUUAUUGAAAUUUUUAAUAUAAUUUUUUUUUUUUUAGAGAGAAAUAGAUAGCAUACUACCUGCUUCGUUUAUUUUAUUUAGCAAUAAACUUAACUAGAAAUGUAAAUCAAUUAGGAUUCAAAUUUGAUACCUUGGGUACCAAUCAUCAAACUUUUUGCCACUUGUGUUAGGGACGAUCGGUUAUAUUUCAUUAAAUAUAACAAGCAUUCUCAACUAACUCAUCUUCAUAAAUUUUACAUCCAAAUUUAACAAUAAUGAAAAUUUUUGGAUUUGUUUGAUGUAGUAGUAAAAUAUCGUGCACAAUUGAAACAAAAAUUGUAUACAAAAACAUAAUAGAGACUACAUGUGUAACGAUCCGACCCGCCAGCAAUAAUAACUCGUUGGGCCCAAACCACCUAUUCAAAAUGCUUAAGCUCAGUUAUUAUUACUAGUGUAUCUGUUACUUAUAAAUCCUAAUCAGAUUCUCCCACAUUAUUCGAUGUGGAACUAUUGGGAUAUUACAUAUAUCAUCUAAUGUGGGACUAUUGAAAUGUUACAUACUUUCCUGGUUUAGGUCCUGAUGUUCUCGUCAGCCCGAUCCAAUCAUAUACAGUCUCACAUUCACUAGGUGAUGUGAAAUCUAUCUCACACUUUCGGCUGGUUAUCAGCCUCUGAUACCAAAUGUAACGAUCCAAUCCGCUAGUAAUAAUAAUUUGUUGGACCUAAACCACCAGCCUAAAAUACUUAGGUCUAGUUAUUAUUAUUAGUAUGUCCGUUACUUAUAAACGUCAUGACGUCCUAAUCAGCCCGACCCAAUCAUAUUUAUAUAUAUACUAGUCAUAUGCACAUGCAAUGUCACGCCCCGGAUUACACUUUCCCCGGGCGCGCCGACAAAUCCGCCGUAUACAAAGGAAUUUUUCCUGUAUACGAAGCGAUUGCUGUACCUGUAAAUCAAACACUACUACGAACAGUAGUAGAGAGCUGCUAGAGAAAACAGAAGCUAAACAAACUGAGUUUCAUAUACAUAGUCCAAAUCCAAAAUACAAAGCUACUCGCACUGGCGAGUUAAAUCCACUAUGUACAUAAACUCGAAACAAAACAUCUACCUGCAGUAGGGUGCCUCUAACUCUGUCAGUCGGGUAGGGCUCUAACUCACGACGCCCUUGCCUCGAUCCUGAUCCGCGGAAGGCGCAGCAACCGAAACCUGUGGCUCUGCAAAACAGGGGUAACAACUGGGCGUGAGAACUACUGUAAAAACAAGUAGUCCUCAGUGGGUACCGCCCAAAACAACAUCGGUCCACCCACUAAGUCUACAGAAGGGAGCAAGAAUAGUAGUAAAAUGCAGGAAUAAAGUCUACCGCUAUCAAACACUACACUAUCAUGCUCUACACUAACCAACUGUAGAAAAUGUCCAACCUGACCCAAUCCAAUCGGGACUGUAAGCAUACCCGUCCCCGGGACUGUGAAUACACCCGUCCCUGCCCCGU